AGUAGAAUGAAGAAUAAGGAAAUGGAUCUGGCCAAGGGCCCCAAGGGGCUGGACUUUGAGCCAAGUGACCACAGUUUAAAGGACAUAAGCAACCCAGCCUUGAUUCCAUGGUGUCGCCACACCUGCAGAUGUGUCCCCUUGGGUAGACAGCAACUAUGACCAUAGUACAGGUGACGUCAGGGGUGGGUACAGGAACCAAGGCAUUCCCUACAUGGAGUAAGCUUUGUUAAACAAUCCAGUAUGUUUUUUGCUGUGUUGUGGGGAAUUAAGAGAAGCCUGGGAUCAUGCUUGGGUGAAGCAGGGCAGGGAAGAUCCACCCAGCCUGGAGGAAGCCAACUUUGGUUCAGUAAAUGGCAUUCAUCUGAGAGAGCAGGGGAGGAGUCAGCCGCCAGCUGAGCAACAGGGAAAGAACAAGGACAGACUUGAGGAUCAGGCACAUCUGGAGGCAGGGUAUUCUCAGAAAUGGGGAGGAAUUGGGGAGUUUCACAAUGACAGAAACCUGGUAAAAGAUGGGAUUUUCUGAAGUCGUGCUGCAUAGGGAUAUAGACUGUCAGUCUUUUGAGCACUGAAAGCUAAUAUGGCCAUCAAUGACCAGAGAGCUCAUAGAUAGCCCGCUGACCAACCAAAAGCAUUGGGAGGACCAUUAUGGUUAUGGGGGGAGCUCACUCUGCACCAGGUACUAGUCUGAGAGAUUUACAUGGAAUAUCUUUUAUUUUUCAUAGAAACAGCACAGAAGAAGUAUUUGCUUACCCCAUUUUAUAGAUGAGGAAACUGAGGCACAGGGACUUUAUUCAGCUACUAGGUAGAAGAGCUAAGAUUGGAACUCAGCCAGUAGGACUCAAAACCAACAUUCUUAGGAUGUCACUUCGGGUCUAUUGAUCUCUGCUACCCUGAAGCUUCCAUCAGCUGGUCACAGACACCCCUCCAGGAGCCACCAGAAUGGAGCAACGGUUCUUCCCUCUAACAAUCUCUCAGGGCCCAAUCUUGUCAUUGUGCAGCCCAACUGCUCGUGGAAUGCCGGGGCCAGAGCAGAUGCCCAAUAGGCAUUUGCCAGCCGACGAAAACCAGAUAAUUACUGAGU
rnacentral:lncRNA from 10 species